AGCUCUGUAAGCGUAUACCCAAGUUGUUGCAGUUAAAACGCUCGUAGUCGGAACUUGGCGGGCGAUCUGGGGCGUCUUCACGGACGGGUUCAGGUUGGCCGCCUUUGUGGAGGGGGGCCCGGCGGGGCUUCAUUGCGUCGCCGUUUUGGUCGCUGCCACCGUUUACUGUGAAAAAAUUAGAGUGUUCAAAGCGGGCGUUUGCCAUGAAUACCUUUAGCAUGGAAUAAUAGAAUAGGACCUGUUUUCCUAUUUUGUUGGUUUGUGAGGAACGGGUAAUGAUUAAGAGGGACGGUUGGGGGCAUUUGUAUUCCGGCGUCAGAGGUGAAAUUCUUGGAUUGUCGGAAGACAAACGGCUGCGAAAGCGUCUGCCAAGGACGUUUUCA
rnacentral:rRNA from 1 species